UACGUAGGGUGCGAGCGUUGUCCGGAAUUAUUGGGCGUAAAGAGCUUGUAGGCGGUUUGUCGCGUCUGCCGUGAAAAUCCGAGGCUCAACCUCGGACUUGCGGUGGGUACGGGCAGACUAGAGUGUGGUAGGGGAGACUGGAAUUCCUGGUGUAGCGGUGAAAUGCGCAGAUAUCAGGAGGAACACCUAUAGCGAAGGCAGCUUGCUGGGACGUUACUGACGCUAAGGCGCGAAAGCGUGGGGAGCGAACAGG
rnacentral:rRNA from 1 species